UACAUGGGGUGCAAACGUUGCUCGGAAUUAUUGGGCGUAAAGAGCUCGUAGGCGGCCUGUCGCGUCUGCUGUGAAAUCCCGGGGCUUAACCCCGGGCGUGCAGUGGAUACGGGCUGGCUGGAGGCAGGCAGGGGAGACUGGAAUUCCUGGUGUAGCGGUGAAAUGCGCAGAUAUCAGGAGGAACACCGGUGGCGAAGGCGGGUCUCUGGGCCGUAACUGACGCUGAGGCGCGAAAGCCAGGGGAGCGAACGGG
rnacentral:rRNA from 1 species